GUGGGGAAUUUUGGACAAUGGGCGCAAGCCUGAUCCAGCAAUGCCGCGUGCAGGAAGAAGGCCUUCGGGUUGUAAACUGCUUUUGUACGGAACGAAACGGUCCGGGUUAAUACCCUGGGCUAAUGACGGUACCGUAAGAAUAAGCACCGGCUAACUACGUGCCAGCAGCCGCGGUAAUACGUAGGGUGCAAGCGUUAAUCGGAAUUACUGGGCGUAAAGCGUGCGCAGGCGGUUUUGUAAGACAGGCGUGAAAUCCCCGGGCUCAACCUGGGAAUUGCGCUUGUGACUGCAAGGCUGGAGUGCGGCAGAGGGGGAUGGAAUUCCGCGUGUAGCAGUGAAAUGCGUAGAUAUGCGGAGGAACACCGAUGGCGAAGGCAAUCCCCUGGGCCUGCACUGACGCUCAUGCACGAAAGCGUGGGGAGCAAACAGGAUUAGAAACCCGAGUAGUCC
rnacentral:rRNA from 1 species